CAGAGUGUAAAAACUCCCUAAACCCACUGUGAAUCUACCGAUUUGUUGCUUUGGCAGGCGGCCCCAGGGCGGGGCCUUCGCCGUCAGGUGCCUGCCGAAGGAUUAAAACCAUCUCUUUAGCGGUCUUCAGAGUACUAGACAAAUAAGUCA
rnacentral:misc_RNA from 1 species